AUCUCUUGUAGGGCUAGAAUUGGGUCCGGGCUGGCCCAAGACUUAGGCCAGCCCAAGGCCUAUCAAGAUAGGCCGACUUUGAAUUGGGCUUUGGGCUCGGUCUGAAAAAAAUUGGAUCAGAAUUGGGCUGACAUUAAGAGCCCAUUUAAUUUUCGGGCCGGGCUCAGAUGUACCUUUGGCCUGGCCCCAGCCCGAUCCAAACUCGAGCCC
rnacentral:lncRNA from 1 species